rnacentral:rRNA from 1 species
AUUGAACGCUGGCGGCAGGCCUAACACAUGCAAGUCGAGCGAGCGGCGGACGGGUGAGUAAUGCCUAGGAAUCUGCCUGGUAGUGGGGGAUAACGUCCGGAAACGGGCGCUAAUACCGCAUACGAUUGAAUGAGCCGAUGUCGGAUUAGCUAGUUGGCGGGGUAAAGGCCCACCAAGGCGACGAUCCGUAGCUGGUCUGAGAGGAUGAUCAGCCACACUGGAACUGAGACACGGUCCAGACUCCUACGGGAGGCAGCAGUGGGGAAUAUUGGACAAUGGGCGCAAGCCUGAUCCAGCCAUACCGCGUGGGUGAAGAAGGCCUUCGGGUUGUAAAGCCCUUUUGUUGGGAAAGCGGUACCCAAAGAAUAAGCACCGGCUAACUUCGUGCCAGCAGCCGCGGUAAUAC